GAUGAACGCUGGCGGCGUGCCUAAUACAUGCAAGUCGAGCGAAUGGAUUAAGAGCUUGCUCUUAUGAAGUUAGCGGCGGACGGGUGAGUAACACGUGGGUAACCUGCCCAUAAGACUGGGAUAACUCCGGGAAACCGGGGAUACUACCGGAUAACAUUUUGAACCGCAUGGUUCGAAAUUGAAAGGCGGCUUCGGCUGUCACUUAUUGCUGGACCCGCGUCGCAUUAGCUAGUUGGUGAGGUAACGGCUAACCACGGCAACGAUGCGUAGCCGACCUAAGAGGGUGAUCGGCCACACUUGGACUGGGACACGGCCCAGACUCCUACGGGAGGCAGCAGUAGGGAAUCUUCCGCAAUGGACGAAAGUCUGACGGAGCAACGCCGCGUGAGUGAUGAAGGCUUUCGGGUCGUAAAACUCUGUUGUUAGGGAAGAACAAGUGCUAGUUGAAUAAGCUGGCACCUUGACGGUACCUAACCAGAAAGCCACGGCUAACUACGUGCCAGCCGCCGCAGUAA
rnacentral:rRNA from 1 species